AUGGGACAAUUGGUUUCAUAUACAAGUUGUUAUUAUUACCUGUGAUUAAAAUUAUUCUUAUUUAAGCGGAAAUGUAUGUUUAUGAUGUUGAAUAUGGAAAUGCAUCACCUCAUUAAUACUACGACUUACAUUCAAGACUUUGCAAACGUAUUUUACAUGAGUUGGAAUGCUUCAUAAGGAAUUAACAUGAAUUCAACACCAAUGAUACAAAAUGACACCAUGUCAACAACCGUGACAAACCUUGCCACCACACACAACUAUACAGACGAUCCUGUGUUUGUGACACUGCGCCUGCUUGUAUUCCUAUCUGUGGUCGUGUUAUUCUUUGCUCUGGGUCUAGGCUGCUAUAGAAUUCGACAACGUUGUUCCAAGGAUGACUACCGCUUUCUCGACGUCAUUUAACUUUGUUAGCGUCUGGACAAAUACGGCUUUAGUUGUUGAAAGUAUGGUAUUUGUCGUCGUUUACGUGAAUGAGAUUAACUAUCUAGCUCGCAAACGGGCUUAAGCAUGUUGGAGCAAGUGUAAAAUCGUUGGACAUCGAAUCACCGUGAGAAAGGAAGAUGUUGACUAUUCACAGAGAAUAAUGAUACUGCUCUGUGCGUUCAUUGUAAAACGUGAGGGGAAAAUAUACUUUUGGCAAUUAUUAACAGUGCAAACAUUCUUUCAAAAGCUUUUAUCAUGUAAAAUAUAUGUGAUUAAAUGCUCGUAAAUCGA